rnacentral:rRNA from 1 species
AGAGCGAACGCUGGCGGCAGGCCUAAUACAUGCAAGUCGAACGGAUCCUUCGGGAUUAGUGGCGGACGGGUGAGUAACACGUGGGAACGUACCCUUUGGUUCGGAACAACUCAGGGAAACUUGAGCUAAUACCGAAUGUGCCCUUCGGGGAAAAGAUUUAUCGCCAUUGGAGCGGCCCGCGUCUGAUUAGCUAGUUGGUAGGGUAAAGGCCUACCAAGGCUACGAUCAGUAGCUGGUCUGAGAGGAUGAUCAGCCACACUGGGACUGAGACACGGCCCAGACUCCUACGGGAGGCAGCAGUAGGGAAUCUUGCGCAAUGGGCGAAAGCCUGACGCAGCCAUGCCGCGUGAAUGAUGAAGGUCUUAGGAUUGUAAAAUUCUUUCAGUAGGGACGAUAAUGACGGUACCUACAGAAGAAGCCCCGGCUAACUUCGCGCCAGCAGCCGC